AUUGAACGCUGGCGGAAUGCUUUACACAUGCAAGUCGAACGGUAGAGGGGGCAACCCCUUGAGAGUGGCGAACGGGUGAGUAAUAUAUCGGAACGUGCCCAGUCGUGGGGAUAACGUAGCGAAAGUUACGCUAAUACCGCAUACGAUCUAAGGAUGAAAGCGGGGGAUCGCAAGACCUCGCGCGAUUGGAGCGGCCGAUAUCAGAUUAGGUAGUUGGUGAGGUAAAGGCUCACCAAGCCAACGAUCUGUAGCUGGUCUGAGAGGACGACCAGCCACACUGGAACUGAGACACGGUCCAGACUCCUACGGGAGGCAGCAGUGGGGAAUUUUGGACAAUGGACGCAAGUCUGAUCCAGCCAUUCCGCGUGCAGGAUGAAGGCCCUCGGGUUGUAAACUGCUUUUGUACGGAACGAAACGGUGAGCUCUAAUACAGUUUGCUAAUGACGGUACCGUAAGAAUAAGCACCGGCUAACUAACGUGCCAGCAGCGC
rnacentral:rRNA from 1 species